CAGAAUCGCUCGUCUGUUCGUGAGCUCCUUCUCGGUCCCUGAGGGCUGCCUCAGAAUUCCCUGGGAGUGACAGUGACACCUCCCCUCCUGGCCCCAUGGUGAAUGGUCCUCUGUGUGAAGGGGAUGGAGCUGGGCAGAAGCAACAGGACCAGCAGGCAAAGGGUGUGGUCAGCGCCCAGGCCUGGGUGGCCAAGAGAGGUGGCCCCACGUGCCUUCAAGUCCUUCCUGCCUGGACUGUGCCUCCCUGAAAUCUGCUCAGGAUGGAGGAGCCCGUGAGCAGGACUUGGGCGGAAAUGAUACAGGACCAGCCACGUGGGUCCAGAGGGGUCUGCGAGGCAGCGCGGUACCGUGCAGAAGUCUGUUCUCUUAAAGACCCCCUGUCCUGGCCCAUGUCACUGGGCUGCCUCUGGCAAGUGGCUUAUUUCCUUUAAGCUUCAGUUCCUCAUCUCUGAAGUGGGGACACUGAGGUAACCACUGUCUUCCACCUGCAGGGCAGACGUGAGGCCCACCCAGGGCCUGAGGGCUGCAGACCUAGCCUGGAGCCUGGGUUAGGGUGAAGCACUGAACUCAGUGACUCUUGACCACCUUGGGGGACACACCACACAUGCACGGACGGCGGCUGAUGGAUGACCAGUGGUAAAGAGCCUGCAAGUGGCGCAGAUGGGCGAAUGUUGCAGGAGUUCCGAGCAGGGUGGGUCCCCGAGGUAGGGGCAGAGGGCUGGCGUUCCGGAGGCGUGACCUGGGCCUGGAAGGAGAACUCUGUGCCCAGGAAGGCACAAGCCUGGCCUGUUCCUCUCAGGCCUGGGAAGAGCUCCAUAAUCAUCCACCCUCCAUCAAAAAUGCUGCCCAUCGUUGACCCAGACGUCGUGUGGCGUGUGACUGCAUUUAUUUGGUUCUCCUCUGAUGGGCCAGUUCCAAGCCACCCACUCACUCUGGGAAACUUCAAACAACAUGGCCUAAGGAUUUCUUGUUGGUGGCUCCCAGGCAGACAAAAACAGCCAUGUCCCUCAGUGGGGACAAGGUCCUAUACACCCUUUGUGUCAUUUUGGCCACAGACCAGGAGAAGCUUCUCCAGAGUGACCACCAAGGACCUGGCACCCCUUCCCUCUGGCGCUAGGUAGAUACCUGUUCAUGGCAGCGCAAGAGCAAGGCUUCCUGGCUGCCCACGCGGGACAGGAAGGAGCCGCGUGCGCUGUGUGUUCCUGGUACAGCGCCGGGCCCUGCCGGGAUGGUCUGGGGAGCUGUCUGCUCGAGUUCCACGUCGCUGGACGUGGCAGUUGAGCUGGUGACUGUGGAACGUUCUAGAAGAGGAGUGGGGUGGGACAAGGCGAGCUUGAAGCUGGAGGAGCCGGGUGCCUGGAUCAGGGCAGCUGAGAUUCCAGGUUGCCCGCUGCCAGCCUGCAUGACACCUCCGCUGUCUGUCUCCCCAACCGGGGCCAGUGUGACUUCCCCUCCACGUGGGACGACGCUGGGGGGUGGGUGUCCUGGCAACAGCCUGUUAGGGUCUGUAAACAAGUCAAGAUGGCGCCUGGCAUUUUGCCAGAGGGAGUGGUUUGUGAAGUAACACCAGCGAGCCAUUAAGUGUGGAGAUUCCUUAAUGACUGACUGCUGUAUCUAGUUUAUGUUAAUUAGAUAAGCUGUGUGGAAUGUAUA
rnacentral:lncRNA from 1 species